rnacentral:rRNA from 1 species
UACGGAGGGUGCAAGCGUUGUUCGGAUUCACUGGGCAUAAAGGGCGCGUAGGCGGUUCGGUAAGCGGCGUGUGAAAGCCCCUGGCUCAACCAGGGAAGUGCACGCCGGACUGCCGUUCUAGAGGGUGGUAGGGGGGACUGGAACUCUCGGUGGAGCGGUGAAAUGCGUAGAUAUCGAGAGGAACACCGGUGGCGAAGGCGAGUCCCUGGUCCACAUCUGACGCUGAGACGCGAAAGCGUGGGGAGCAAACAGG